rnacentral:rRNA from 1 species
AUUGAACGCUGGCGGCAGGCUUAACACAUGCAAGUCGAGCGGAGUGAUGGUGCUUGCACUAUCACUUAGCGGAGGACGGGUGAGUAAUGCUUAGGAAUCUGCCUAUUAGUGGGGGACAACAUCUCGAAAGGGAUGCUAAUAACGCAUACGUCCUACGGGAGAAAGCAGGGGAUCACUUGUGACCUUGCGCUAAUAGAUGAGCCUAAGUCGGAUUAGCUAGUUGGUGGGGUAAAGGCCUACCAAGGCGACGAUCUGUAGCGGGUCUGAGAGGAUGAUCCGCCACACUGGGACUGAGCCACGGCCCAGACUCCUACGGGAUGCAGCAGUGGGGAAUAUUGGACAAUGGGGGGAACCCUGAUCCAGCCAUGCCGCGUGUGUGAAGAAGGCCUUAUGGUUGUAAAGCACUUUAAGCGAGGAGGAGGCUUACCUAGUUAAUACCUGGGAUAAGUGGACGUUACUCGCAGAAUAAGCACCGGCUAACUCUGUGCCAGCCGCCGCAGUAA